CAUAGCUUAAUGUACAUAUUAAGUACUUCCUGCCCAGUGAUUUUAACGGCCGCAGUACCCUGACUGUGCUAAGGUAGCAUAAUAAUUUGGCUUUUAAUUGAAGUCGGGAAUGAAUGGGAGACGUAAAAAUUGUCUCUUUUAAGGUAAAUAAAUUUACUUAUUAGGUGAAAAUUCCUAAUUAUUAAUAGACGAGAAGACCCUUAGAAUUUUAAUAAUUUUUGUUGGGGCGACAAAGUUACAUUUAACUUAUUUACUUUUUUUACAUGCCGAGUACGAAGAAAUUACCUGAGGGAUAACAGCAUAAAAUUUAGAUUAUGACCUCGAUGUUGGAUUAGGGAAUAAUGGUUAGCAAUUAUUGCUGUUCUGUUCGAACCCUACGUGAUCU
rnacentral:rRNA from 1 species